AUUGAACGCUGGCGGCAUGCCUUACACAUGCAAGUCGAACGGUAACGGGCCUUCGGGUGCCGACGAGUGGCGAACGGGUGAGUAAUACAUCGGAACGUGCCCGAUCGUGGGGGAUAACGAGGCGAAAGCUUUGCUAAUACCGCAUACGAUCUACGGAUGAAAGCAGGGGACCGUAAGGCCUUGCGCGGACGGAGCGGCCGAUGGCAGAUUAGGUAGUUGGUGGGAUAAAAGCUUACCAAGCCGACGAUCUGUAGCUGGUCUGAGAGGAUGAGCAGCCACACUGGGACUGAGACACGGCCCAGACUCCUACGGGAGGCAGCAGUGGGGAAUUUUGGACAAUGGGCGCAAGCCUGAUCCAGCCAUGCCGCGUGCAGGAUGAAGGCCUUCGGGUUGUAAACUGCUUUUGUACGGAACGAAAAGCCUUCUUUUAAUACAGGAGGGUCAUGACGGUACCGUAAGAAUAAGCACCGGCUAACUACGUG
rnacentral:rRNA from 1 species